UCUACUCUUUGAGCUCUUCAACAGGUGUGAGUCUCCUUGUGAGGUCUCUGUGCAGUCCAAUAACAGUGGACCAUAGUGGUCGCCAUGGCGAAGUCUCCCCGCAGGCCUGAAUAAGUGACAUCAUCAUCAACCAAUCAACACACUGAAAGGGGUAUUAUUUAUUGUUCCCACAGUGCAGAGGUGAUACAAGAAGAAGUCUGGAAAACAAAUCAAGAUGAGACGUAGAGAUCUGUGGUCGUGUUUGAGAUAUUUUGAACAAAGUUUUUAAUUGAUUAAGGACUCUUUUCUUUUUUUUAGAGUAACUUGUUUUUGUAAAGAACUGAGCACUUUUACAGACUUGUGCACGAGAGAAAAUGCAAGAAAAGGUCCAGCAGCCCUAAUGAUGAACAGUAAAUUAACAAUAUUUAGUUUUAGGUUUUGUUUAUCUGUGCAUAUGCAAAUGAUUAAGUCCUAAGCAGACAUGCAUCCAUACAUUUUAUGUGCCCUGUUUUCCAGUGAUAACGUGUCAUUUUCAGUUGUUUUCUUGAGAUGAUGCUCAGGUCCACAACCCGGUACAAACCAGUGAGGUGAGGUGAUGUGCUUGCUGCAUGGGGUAGCAAGCUGUACGUGACAUCAUUUCUCACAAAGGGGAAACAACUAAGAGGUCUUUCCAGAUGAAAGAAAAAGAAGUCCCACGUGUGAGCAGCAACUUCUUAGAGGAGAAUUUAAUCCCAAAGCUGCUGUUUGCCUCAAGGUUUCACCCGUGUGGUCAGUUAGGCCAGAUGUCGGAUAAGUGAAGAAGUUAAGUGGGACUUAAUUUGAAUGCUGAAACGUGACAGAAUGAAUAUUUCUAUUGUCAUUUUAUACUCUUGAAUAUACAGCUUUGACAUCUGUAAUGAAGUUCCCCUGAGAGCCCGUAUAACUCUUCAUCUUCACUGACCUGAACUCAAGCUUGAUUAAAGAAGUCUUUUUACCUAAGCAGAAUGUUUCAGCAGAUGGCGCUAUAGUGCAACAGAAAGAGGUCUAAAAACUGUUCCUACAACUACUUAACCAUCUACCAAACCUGAAAAGUCUAAGUGACAACACAUACCUAUGAUCUAACACCGUCCUGUUGUAGCGCUGUUGUUUGUUUUUUUGCAGCCGAGAAUGUGUAUUAUUUCUCAAGUAUUUCCUCCAUGUGUUCAUCAGCUGACUGACACACCAUCCACUUUCUUAUACUCAAAACAGCCCACCAGCAUAUUUCCCAUGCCUCCUCGGAGCCAUGCAGAGCUCCAGGGAGAGAUGAGGGCUACGUGGGACGUGUCUCCUCACGUCGCCCCCUCUCCCAGUGCCAGCACUACUGGCUCUAAUCCUCCAUGGCGUACCUGGCAGAUCUCUCUGGCGACACCGGCUCUGAGCGCUGCUGGCGUUGUUGCAGCCUGGCCCGGCCCUGCACACCAGCAUCCCCUCUAAUCCUCCCCGCCUGCACCGCCCCGAAGGCCCAGCAGCCUGCAGGGAAGUAGGGCAACGGAGGUGAAGCAGAAAGAGUCAGUCAAUCUCAGUUGUAACUAAACACAGAGAGUUCCUUGGAUUUGUUGCUAUUGGACUCUGUAACCCCCCCCCCGGUCCUUCCUCCAACCUCCUCCUCCUCCUCUAUGCGUUGUCACUUUCCCCACGAUGUCAAAGGUCAGGUGUGGGAGAGGGGACUGGGGUCUGAAUGGAGAGCCUGGGGACAGUCUCCGUUAGUGAGGGAUUAAGUUGCUGCUGUGUGGAGAAAGGUGGAGGCAUCGCAGAGUCACACAGACACUCAUCAAUGAGGAUAUUUUGUUAAGAGAAAGAAAAACUCUCACAAAGUCAUGAUAAGCUCCUGGAAAUAACAACUGACAACACAUGAACCGGUGAACCCGUAAGUAUUUGUGUCACUUACGGACAUUUCAUCGACAACCCAACAGAAGCUGAAACAGCCACUCGUCCCUUUAAGGUUCAACUUAAAUAACUACAAUAAUGUGCAGCAAAUCAUGCGGUGAAUACUGCAAUUCAUGUCAUAUUUUCACUCCAAAUAUUGAUCCCGACAUGAUGAAAGGAACAACUGAGCUUCAGCGUUCGUGCAAAGUCUGCAGCUGUCUUUAUCAUUUAAAAAAAAUAGUCCAGUCUUAGUGUGUGUGCUUUGGAGGCUUCUAGUUUCAACCUCACUUUAUUGUUAAUGAUAAUACUUCCAAACUAGGUGUGAUGGUACAAAAAAUGCUCUAACAUACAGGAGCUUUAUUAAUAUUUAAAGUGACAGCCAAGAAACCUCCAAAAAUACUGCUCAGUGAAGGUCGAGCAUGCAUGUGCACUAAAAACAAAAACACAUUUUCAUUGCUUAUUACUGAACAUGUUCUGUUUCCAGAUAGAUGGUGAACACCUCAGUUCUUACCAUUUCAUGUCAUUCAAUGAAACCUUUAUUGCCCUGAGGGGAAUCUGUCUUCAACCAAGAGCAUAAAAACAUAAAACAACCAUACAGGGAAAAAAAUAGAAACAGGAAUCUCAUAUCAUUAGUCCAACAUUUUCCUGCCGCCAUAUUUUUCUUCCAUCUUGCUUGUAACUUCUUCUUGGGCCAAUUCAAUUUAGUUCACAUUGCCCUCCUUUAUGUAACAUGCACCAUUAUGACGAGUCCUGUAGUGGUGACUCAAAGAGUUGAAUUAGCAGGCGACUAGUUUAGAACACUAUCAUUUUUGAACAAUAUUUGGCACCAGUAAUUUAAUAAUUGUAUCACACAAGUCAGGACUACGAUAUAUUGCUGUAUUGACAUUUUAAACCUCCCCUAGUCAGAACAGAUCCGUCAUGAACUACAGGAGCUUGGACAAAGUCGUAGUCCUGCCAGAUCGCUACUUCAGCUUGGCCUUGGCUGUUAUUUAGUGGCAGCUGACCAAACUAUGGGGUGAAGUGGCAGCUCACAGACAAGACUGACUGUGUUGUUAAUAUUAGCAUAUUGCAGAAUUACCUGCGCAGAGAUGUGAAGAAUGGUUAUCGUUAGCAGGUUCUGCCGGGCCCUGGACCUCCAGAGCGUUGCUCCACACAUACAGAGUGACACUGUUGAGUAAGUUUGUCCUUUACCCUGACCCUCACAACUGCGGCAACUUGUAAAGCAGUCGGUCCAGAGAUCAGAAACAGAGAGCACAAAUCAUUAUUUCUACUUGUAAAAUAUGAACAUCAAACGCAGCGUUCCUUCAAAGGCCUCACAAACCGCCAAGAUGAAAGCUGCUGUUUGUGGUGGCAUCUUUUCAAAACGAUUGUCUUUGGUCAGUUACCGUGACAUCUCGUCCAUCUCCUCCGUCCCCAGGCCUUAAAAAUCCAAAUUCCUGUUGAAGAAUGUGGCGAGUGCGUUUAAUGAAGCCAAGCCGUGGCUCCGCUAAUGAGUCAAGUCCAGUAAUGGCCGGAAUCCCUCGUCAGACAAAGCAGCCAAAUACCUGAUGGCUACCAAUCAUGUUCUCUUCUUCAUGGGAAAAAAUGCACGCAGUUUAUUUUGCUGUCUUUCAUGUCCCCAAUUAAGAGGGACAGUUGAGGGCAGAUUGCUCCAAUGCAGAUGGAGUUAAGGUGAAACACAGGGCAUGCAGUCAUUAAAGAUGAAUCAUUUAAUUGACUUUUCAUAAAGACGGAUGAGUGUUUAUGAUUAACAGCAAAUGAAACAAUGAAAAAUUCACAGUAAAGGCUCACAUGGGACGAGUAUUGACAACCACAAACCCUAUAUUAGAAAUGGACGUAGCCUCUUUACUUAAGUGAAGCUGAUGUCAGAUUUACAACUUUAAGAAAGAACA